GUCUAUGGUCAUGCCAUCCUGAAUUUCACACUUGACUUCAUCUGAUUUGAGAAGCUAAGCAGGGUCAGGCUUGGUUAGUUCUUAGAUGGGAGACAUUUAGGCACUAGGCACUGCAGGGG
rnacentral:rRNA from 1 species